GCCCUCGUAGCGCAGUAGGCAGCGCGUCAGUCCUCAAUCACUCCAGCGAGUAAUCUGAAGGUCGGAGUUCGAUCCCCCGGGCAGCCA